rnacentral:rRNA from 1 species
GACGAACGCUGGCGGCGUGCUUAACACAUGCAAGUCGAACGGAAAGGCCCUGCUUGCAGGGUACUCGAGUGGCGAACGGGUGAGUAACACGUGGGUGAUCUGCCCUGCACUUCGGGAUAAGCCUGGGAAACUGGGUCUAAUACCGGAUAGGAGCCAUUUUUAGUGUGAUGGUUGGAAAGUUUUUUCGGUGUAGGAUGAGCUGGCGGCCUAUCAGCUUGUUGGUGGGGUAAUGGCCUACCAAGGCGGCGACGGGUAGCCGGCCUGAGAGGGUGGACGGCCACAUUGGGACUGAGAUACGGCCCAGGCUCCGACGGGAGGGAGCAGUGGGGAAGAUUGCACAAGGGGCGCAGGCCUGAUGCAGAGACGCCGCGUGGGGGAUGACGGUCUUCGGGUUGUAAACUCCUUUCGCUAGGGACGAAGCUUUUUGUGACGGUACCUAGAGAAGAAGCACCGGCUAACUACGUG